rnacentral:rRNA from 1 species
GGGUUGUGAGGUUAAGCGACUAAGCGUACACGGUGGAUGCCCUGGCAGUCAGAGGCGAUGAAGGGCGUGCUAAUCUGCGAUAAGCGCCGGUAAGGUGAUAUGAACCGUUAUAACCGGCGAUACCCGAAUGGGGAAACCCAGUGUGACUCGUCACACUAUCAUUAACUGAAUCCAUAGGUUAAUGAGGCGAACCGGGGGAACUGAAACAUCUAAGUACCCCGAGGAAAAGAAAUCAACCGAGAUUCCCCCAGUAGCGGCGAGCGAACGGGGAGGAGCCCAGAGCCUGAAUCAGCAUGUGUGUUAGUGGAAGCGUCUGGAAAGGCGCGCGAUACAGGGUGACAGCCCCGUACACAAAAGCGCAUGUGUUGUGAGCUCGAUGAGUAGGGCGGGACACGUGGUAUCCUGUCUGAAUAUGGGGGGACCAUCCUCCAAGGCUAAAUACUCCUGACUGACCGAUAGUGAACCAGUACCGUGAGGGAAAGGCGAAAAGAACCCCGGCGAGGGGAGUGAAAAAGAACCUGAAACCGUGUACGUACAAGCAGUGGGAGCACAGGUUUACCUGUGUGACUGCGUACCUUUUGUAUAAUGGGUCAGCGACUUAUAUUCUGUAGCAAGGUUAACCGAAUAGGGGAGCCGGAGGGAAACCGAGUCUUAAUUGGGCGUUAAGUUGCAGGGUAUAGACCCGAAACCCGGUGAUCUAGCCAUGGGCAGGUUGAAGGUUGGGUAACACUAACUGGAGGACCGAACCGACUAAUGUUGAAAAAUUAGCGGAUGACCUGUGGCUGGGGGUGAAAGGCCAAUCAAACCGGGAGAUAGCUGGUUCUCCCCGAAAGCUAUUUAGGUAGCGCCUCGUGAAUUCAUCUCCGGGGGUAGAGCACUGUUUCGGCUAGGGGGCCAUCCCGGCUUACCAACCCGAUGCAAACUGCGAAUACCGGAGAAUGUUAUCACGGGAGACACACGGCGGGUGCUAACGUCCGUCGUGAAGAGGGAAACAACCCAGACCGCCAGCUAAGGUCCCAAAGUCAUGGUUAAGUGGGAAACGAUGUGGGAAGGCCCAGACAGCCAGGAUGUUGGCUUAGAAGCAGCCAUCAUUUAAAGAAAGCGUAAUAGCUCACUGGUCGAGUCGGCCUGCGCGGAAGAUGUAACGGGGCUAAACCAUGCACCGAAGCUGCGGCAGCGAACGUAUCACCCAAGACAACUUUACGGAGUUGACGAUUGACGGAGCGAAGCGACGUCAAAGCGUUCAUUAAAGUCGAGUUGGCUUAGGGAUACGUUCGUUGGGUAGGGGAGCGUUCUGUAAGCCUGUGAAGGUGGCCUGUGAGGGUUGCUGGAGGUAUCAGAAGUGCGAAUGCUGACAUAAGUAACGAUAAAGCGGGUGAAAAGCCCGCUCGCCGGAAGACCAAGGGUUCCUGUCCAACGUUAAUCGGGGCAGGGUGAGUCGACCCCUAAGGCGAGGCCGAAAGGCGUAGUCGAUGGGAAACGGGUUAAUAUUCCCGUACUUGGUGUUACUGCGAAGGGGGGACGGAGAAGGCUAUGUUGGCCGGGCGACGGUUGUCCCGGUUUAAGCGUGUAGGUGUGUGUUCCAGGUAAAUCCGGUUCACUUUAACACUGAGGCGUGACGACGAGGCACUACGGUGCUGAAGCAACAAAUGCCCUGCUUCCAGGAAAAGCCUCUAAGCAUCAGGUAACAUCAAAUCGUACCCCAAACCGACACAGGUGGUCAGGUAGAGAAUACCAAGGCGCUUGAGAGAACUCGGGUGAAGGAACUAGGCAAAAUGGUGCCGUAACUUCGGGAGAAGGCACGCUGACACGUAGGUGAAGUGAUUUACUCAUGGAGCUGAAGUCAGUCGAAGAUACCAGCUGGCUGCAACUGUUUAUUAAAAACACAGCACUGUGCAAACACGAAAGUGGACGUAUACGGUGUGACGCCUGCCCGGUGCCGGAAGGUUAAUUGAUGGGGUCAGCGCAAGCGAAGCUCCUGAUCGAAGCCCCGGUAAACGGCGGCCGUAACUAUAACGGUCCUAAGGUAGCGAAAUUCCUUGUCGGGUAAGUUCCGACCUGCACGAAUGGCGUAAUGAUGGCCAGGCUGUCUCCACCCGAGACUCAGUGAAAUUGAACUCGCUGUGAAGAUGCAGUGUACCCGCGGCAAGACGGAAAGACCCCGUGAACCUUUACUAUAGCUUGACACUGAACAUUGAGCCUUGAUGUGUAGGAUAGGUGGGAGGCUUUGAAGUGUGGACGCCAGUCUGCAUGGAGCCGACCUUGAAAUACCACCCUUUAAUGUUUGAUGUUCUAACGUGGACCCGUGAUCCGGGUUGCGGACAGUGUCUGGUGGGUAGUUUGACUGGGGCGGUCUCCUCCUAAAGAGUAACGGAGGAGCACGAAGGUUGGCUAAUCCUGGUCGGACAUCAGGAGGUUAGUGCAAUGGCAUAAGCCAGCUUGACUGCGAGCGUGACGGCGCGAGCAGGUGCGAAAGCAGGUCAUAGUGAUCCGGUGGUUCUGAAUGGAAGGGCCAUCGCUCAACGGAUAAAAGGUACUCCGGGGAUAACAGGCUGAUACCGCCCAAGAGUUCAUAUCGACGGCGGUGUUUGGCACCUCGAUGUCGGCUCAUCACAUCCUGGGGCUGAAGUAGGUCCCAAGGGUAUGGCUGUUCGCCAUUUAAAGUGGUACGCGAGCUGGGUUUAGAACGUCGUGAGACAGUUCGGUCCCUAUCUGCCGUGGGCGCUGGAGAACUGAGGGGGGCUGCUCCUAGUACGAGAGGACCGGAGUGGACGCAUCACUGGUGUUCGGGUUGUCAUGCCAAUGGCACUGCCCGGUAGCUAAAUGCGGAAGAGAUAAGUGCUGAAAGCAUCUAAGCACGAAACUUGCCCCGAGAUGAGUUCUCCCUGAGACUUUAAGUCUCCUGAAGGAACGUUGAAGACGACGACGUUGAUAGGCCGGGUGUGUAAGCGCAGCGAUGCGUUGAGCUAACCGGUACUAAUGAACCGUGAGGCUUAACCUUACAACGCCGAAG